UACGAAGGGGGGCUAGCGUUGCUCGGAAUUACUGGGCGUAAAGGGAGCGUAGGCGGAUAGUUUAGUCAGAGGUGAAAGCCCAGGGCUUAACCUUGGAACUGCCUUUGAUACUGGCUAUCUUGAGUACGGGAGAGGUGAGUGGAACUCCGAGUGUAGAGGUGAAAUUCGUAGAUAUUCGCAAGAACACCAGUGGCGAAGGCGGCUCACUGGCCCGAUACUGACGCUUGAGGCACGAAAAGCGUGGGGGAG
rnacentral:rRNA from 1 species